UACGUAGGGGCCGAGCGUUGUCCGGAGUUAUUGGGCGUAAAGCGCGCGCAGGCGGCCUCGCGCGCCCGACGUGAAAGCCCCCGGCUUAACCGGGGAGGGUCGUUGGGGACGGCGGGGCUUGAGGGCGGGAGAGGGCGGUGGAAUUCCCGGUGUAGCGGUGAAAUGCGUAGAGAUCGGGAGGAACACCUGUGGCGAAGGCGGGUCUCUGGGCCGAUACUGACGCUGAGGAGCGAAAGCGUGGGGAGCAAACAGG
rnacentral:rRNA from 1 species